rnacentral:snRNA from 1 species
GUUCAUCCCUGAACAUAUACUAAGAUAGGAACAAUAACAACAACAAUAGAGAAGAUUAACAUGGCCCCUGGGCAAAAGACACGCAUGAAUUGGGGAAACGUUCAAAAUUUUU